GGGGCUGAUCGGUAUCGACGGGAGUUCCUUCCAUUCUGAUCAAGCCGUGCGGGCAUGGGCCGCACGCAAAUAUUCCCCAUGCAAGACGACAACUGCAAACAACGUCAUGGCAAUGAUCAAGAACGCUUUCCGCGUUCCAUCAUUUGCUCCAGUCCUCGCCUAACGGCUUGUAGGACCAUCCGCCUUAGCGACGCUCGAUAGCUAGGACCCGGGUGUUAUAUCAUCGAGCUGGAACAGACGGUCACCGGUCUCGUCUGUUUAAGAGUUGCGAUCGGUUGCUGCCUGUGCGUUUCGUCACGCCUAGAGCAUAGGUAGGUAUCAAGGCGUGACUGAGCUUGGUACCGUCAGAAUGAAAAGCCUUACCGCACGGGAGUUCGAUUCUCCCCAGCUCCACCA
rnacentral:tmRNA from 1 species